CGUCUCAGGGAUUUGUGCACUCUCUUAUUUUUAGGAAUUAUGAAUAUGUUUUGACGGGGUGGCCGUAGACGGAGCUCUCUAGUUACAGCACCUGCAGACACUGUUGCUACACCCCCAGUAGAGGAUGCAGCACCGUCGCAUACAUCUAUGCCAGUACCAUCGCAUACACCUAUGUCAGUCCCAUCGCAUAUAUCUAUGCCAGUACCUUCCUCUACAGGAUCGCCUUCUCCUUCGGCAGUGCCUUCUCCUUCCACAGUACCUUCACCGAUUGAGUCGCCAGUACCCUCUUUCGUUCCUUCUCAACACUCGGUUGCUGAGAGGCCAGACACUCGAGAGCCUAUAUCCCCUUGUGGAGAUUCAUUUGAUAAUUCUGUCCGUGUUAUUCAUGAGAUUAAUAGAAUCGUGAAUAACCAUUGGAGAGGAGACUCGAUGAGUUAUACAAGUACUCCAGCACCGACAAGAGAGCUAUGGUGGAGUGAAUUUAAGCGAUCAUUCACUUGGGACAUGAUUGAUGAGAUGGAAAUAAAGAGGAUUUUCAUGAAAAAAUGUGGCGAUCACAUUCAUCAUGUACUCAAUCAUGCAAAGUCGAGGGGGAAAAAAACCACCAUUCAUCACCGAGGAAAAUUGGAUAAGGAUUUCAAAUAUUUGGACAAGUGAGGAGUUUAAAAAAAGAAGUCACCAGAAUAAAAUAAAUCAAUCUUUUAAUUCUGGAGAAUUGUCUGCGACAUAUGCAGGAGGCUCUAUCAAUGUGGAUGAGUAUAGACAUAGAUCGGUAAUUUUUUAACUCUCCUAAUAUUUUCUUAAUCUAUUUUACACUAUUUAUUUAUUUCUAAUUAUCUUUUUUAGACCAAAGAAUUGGGAAAGGAGCCUACUUUUAUAGAUACUUUCACCCGCACAUUUCAGAAAAAAGAUAAGACUUGGAGCGGGGACAGAGCUAAAGCAAUUAAGGAAAAAUAUGUUGAGUUAGAGGUAGCACAGAGAUGUUCAGCUUCUGCUAGUUCUGAUAUUAAGGGGUCUGAGCCGUCUGUUGGUAGUGAUUUCAAUUUAUGGCUGCAGGCUAGUGGGGGGCCAAAAAGGGGAGGAAAGAUAUUCGGAAUGGGUUCAUUGAGCAGAACCCAUAGAGUUGGUCGUAUAUCUUCUUCCUCCUCCUCACAUACCCAGCAGAUGCAUAACUUGACUGAAGAGGUUUCCCAGUUGAAGGGCAUUAUAAAGAACAGGGAUGAAGAAAUGAGAGAAAUGCGCCGACAACAAGAUUUUAUUAUGCGACAUCUUCAGUUAAGUUCUGUUCCAAGUCAUAUUCCUUCCGGUGACGGUGAUGAUGGUGAUGAUGAUAAUGGCGGUGGUGGUGAUUCUUGAUAAAUUUAUGGAAAAGAAGUACGGAAGGUGACCGAAGCUCCUGAGACAUGAUGAUAUGUAUUUUAUUUUCUUUUGGAUGUCUUGUUACAUUUGUUGUUUGGAUUAUUAUAGAACUUUCAUGUUUGAUAUUAUGAGUUGUUGAAUUUGUUUGGAUUUUGGUUAGUUGUAUAUAUGAAUAUGAUGUGUUUAGUUUUGGGAUGAUUUGUUUGGAUAUAAGAUAUAUGGAUUAUGGA